rnacentral:lncRNA from 1 species
GUCACCUGUGGGAUCAGUGACUGUGGGAUCAGUCACCUGUGGGAUCAGUGACUGUGGGAUCAGUCACCUGUGGGAUCAGUGACUGUGGGAUCAGUCACCUGUGGGAUCAGUGACUGUGGGAUCAGUCACCUGUGGGAUCAGUGACUGUGGGAUCAGUGACUGUGGGAUCAGUGACCUGUGGGAUCAGUGAAUGUGGGAUCAGUAAUCUGCUGCUGUUCGGUCUUGGAGCACACCUGGGCUGCCGGACACGCGUCUGGAACCGUCUCACCCUCCCAGUGAGCUGAGCAGGACAAUGAGAUCGGUGUUUUACACUCGUUCUCCCAGCGCCACUGAGCCAGCACGCGGGGUCUGGGUUUGUGUCGCUUCUGUCACCGCCGAGCUGGGGACAGCGCCACCAGGGGGCGCUGCGGGCACGAACCGGGUGGAAAAGGGGCGGGUUUGGUUAAAAUCGCGAUCUCAGCGCUGGAAAAGGGGCGGGUUUGGUUAAAAUCGCGAUCUCAGCGCUGGAAAAGGGGCGGGUUUGGUUAAAAUCGCGAUUUCAGCGCUCUGGCCUUGUGUAGAGCCGUCCCUGCUGACCGGGAUCCUUCAUCACUAACCGGUGUCCUUCAUCAUCACCCACUGUCCUUUAUCAUCACCCAGCAUCCUUCAUCAGCCCCCAUAAAACGCCUGUAGCUACUUUACUGGCUUUGUGCAACCUCUCAUUAACUUGAAACCUGUCCCUAAACAUUCUCAGCAGGUUUGGGAUUAGAUUGCCUUUAAGGUCCCUCCUGACCCUUAGCACUCCCUGAUUCUGUGGUUUUACGUGUCUCUGGCACUGAAGUGAGUAAAGAUGGUUCUGUAGGAGCCGAGUGUUUAAAGCUGUCACCUGCACACUCCCAGACUGCGCCCAGCUCCUCCCUCUCUGCCCUUCUGGCUAUUUCCUCCUGCUGCCCAUCUUUGCUUUUGCACGGCCACAGGCUGCAGAGCACAGUUGGGCUGAAGUUACACACGGUCAAACUUUGCUGGCCUUCACCUGUCCUGCCCCAGCCUGACUG